GGGAGCCGUAUGAAGUGAAAAUUUCAUGUACGGUUCUGAGGAGAGUUCAGGUAGGUGACUACCUGUUCGACUCCAAC
rnacentral:ncRNA from 1 species